AUCGAUCUGUUGGAAUAGAUCGUUUAAGCCGGUAGGUGGAGCACUUAGGCAAAUCCGGGUGCUUAACACCGAGAAGUGAUGACGAGUGUCUACGGACACGAAGUGACUGAUACCACGCUUCCAGGAAAAGCCACUAAGCUUCAGUUUGAAUGAAACCGUACCGCAAACCGACACAGGUGGGUAGGAUGAGAAUUCUAAGGCGCUUGAGAGAACUCAGGAGAAGGAACUCGGCAAAUUGAUACCGUAACUUCGGGAGAAGGUAUGCCUCUGACGGUGAAGGAUAUACUCCGUAAGCUGUUAGAGGUCGCAGAGAAUAGGUGGCUGCGACUGUUUAAUAAAAACACAGCACUCUGCAAACACGAAAGUGGACGUAUAGGGUGUGACGCCUGCCCGGUGCUGGAAGGUUAAUUGAAGAUGUGCAAGCAUUGGAUCGAAGCCCCAGUAAACGGCGGCCGUAACUAUAACGGUCCUAAGGUAGCGAAAUUCCUUGUCGGGUAAGUUCCGACCCGCACGAAUGGCGUAACGAUGGCCACACUGUCUCCUCCUGAGACUCAGCGAAGUUGAAAUGGUUGUGAAGAUGCAAUCUCCCCGCUGCUAGACGGAAAGACCCCGUGAACCUUUACUGUAGCUUUGCAUUGGACUUUGAAGUCACUUGUGUAGGAUAGGUGGGAGGCUAAGAAGCAGACACGCUAGUGACUGUGGAGCCGUCCUUGAAAUACCACCCUGGUGACUUUGAGGUUCUAACCCGGAUCCAUGAACUGGAUCGGGGACCGUGCAUGGUAGGCAGUUUGACUGGGGCGGUCUCCUCCCAAAGAGUAACGGAGGAGUUCGAAGGUUACCUAGGUCCGGUCGGAAAUCGGACUGAUAGUACAAUGGCACAAGGUAGCUUAACUGCGAGACCGACAAGUCGAGCAGGUGCGAAAGCAGGACAUAGUGAUCCGGUGGUUCUGAAUGGAAGGGCCAUCGCUCAACGGAUAAAAGGUACUCCGGGGAUAACAGGCUGAUUCCGCCCAAGAGUUCAUAUCGACGGCGGAGUUUGGCACCUCGAUGUCGGCUCAUCACAUCCUGGGGCUGUAGUCGGUCCCAAGGGUAUGGCUGUUCGCCAUUUAAAGUGGUACGUGAGCUGGGUUUAAAACGUCGUGAGACAGUUUGGUCCCUAUCUGCAGUGGGCGUUGGAAGUUUGACGGGGGCUGCUCCUAGUACGAGAGGACCGGAGUGGACGAACCUCUGGUGUACCGGUUGUGACGCCAGUCGCAUCGCCGGGUAGCUAAGUUCGGAAGAGAUAAACGCUGAAAGCAUCUAAGCGUGAAACUCGCCUGAAGAUGAGACUUCCCUAGGGAAAUAAUCCCUCUAAAGAGACGUUCGAGACCAGGACGUUGAUAGGUCGGGUGUGGAAGAGUGGUAACACUUGCAGCUAACCGAUACUAAUUGCUCGUGAGGCUUGACUCUA
rnacentral:rRNA from 1 species